AUUGAACGCUGGCGGCAGGCCUAACACAUGCAAGUCGAACGAGUGGCGGACGGGUGAGUAAUGUCUGGGAAACUGCCUGAUGGAGGGGGAUAACUACUGGAAACGGUAGCUAAUACCGCAUACUAUCAGAUGAGCCCAGGUCGGAUUAGCUAGUUGGUGGGGUAAAGGCCUACCAAGGCGACGAUCCGUAACUGGUCUGAGAGGAUGAUAAGGAACACUGGAACAGAGACACGGUCCAGACUCCUACGUGAGGCAGCAGUGGGGAAUAUGGGACAAUGGGCGAAAGCCUGAUGCAGCCAUGCCGCGUGUGUGAAGAAGGUCUUCGGGUUGUAAAGCACUUUAAGUUGGGAGGCGUUACCAACAGAAUAAGCACCGGCUAACUUCGUGCCAGCAGCCGCGGUAAUUC
rnacentral:rRNA from 1 species